rnacentral:rRNA from 1 species
UACAGAGGGCUCAAGCGUUGUUCGGAAUCAUUGGGCGUAAAGGGUGCGUAGGCGGCGCGGUAAGUCGGGUGUGAAAUCUUGGAGCUUAACUCCGAAACUGCAUUCGAUACUGCCGUGCUUGAGGACGGGAGAGGAGACUGGAAUUUACGGUGUAGCGGUGAAAUGCGUAGAUAUCGUAAGGAAGACCAGUGGCGAAGGCGGGUCUCUGGACAGUUCCUGACGCUGAGGCACGAAGGCGUGGGGAGCAAACGGG